rnacentral:rRNA from 1 species
GUAGGUGGCAAGCGUUGUCCGGAAUUAUUGGGCGUAAAGCGCGCGCAGGUGGGUCUUUAAGUCUGAUGUGAAAGCCCCCGGGCUCAACCGGGGAGGGUCAUUGGAAACUGGGGAACUUGAGUGCAGGAGAGGAAAGUGGAAUUCCACGUGUAGCGGUGAAAUGCGUAGAUAUGUGGAGGAACACCAGUGGCGAAGGCGACUUUCUGGCCUGUAACUGACACUGAGGCGCGAAAGCGUGGGGAGCAAACAGGAUUAGAUACCCUGGUAGUCCACGCCGUAAACGAUGAGUGCUAAGUGUUGGGGGGUUUCCGCCCCUCAGUGCUGCAGCUAACGCAUUAAGCACUCCGCCUGGGGAGUACGGUCGCAAAGACUG